UUCGGAUUGCAGGCUGCAACCCGCCUGUAUGAAGUUGGAAUCGCUAGUAAUCGCGGAUCAGCAUGCCGCGGUGAAUACGUUCCCGGGCCUUGUACACGCCGCCCGUCACACCAUGGGAGUCGGAAAUGCCCGAAGUCUGUGACCCAACCAUUAAGGAGGGAGCAGCCGAAGGCAGGUCGGAUGACUGGGGUGAAGUCGUAACAAGGUAAC
rnacentral:rRNA from 1 species